UAAGAUAUAAUUACUAUUAAUAUAGAUAUUUAUUUGUAAAUUUAUAUAAAUCAUUUAAUUUUUAUUGUAAUUGUUAAAGAUCUAAUUCUAAUAGUUAUAAUUAAGUAGUACUGUGAAGGAAGAAAAGAAUAAAAAUGUUAUUAAUUUUAAAGUUAAUUUUAAUUUUUGUACCUUGUGUAUCAGGAUUAAUCAAUAAAAUUUUAUUUAUAUUAAUUUUCUCGAUUUCUUUAGAGUUAAUAUAUUAUAUUAGUUAUUGUUGAAAAAAUAUUAAUAAUAAUAUAUUAGUGAUGAAAUGUUAAUCGUUAAUGAAGAUAUCUAGUUUUUUGGGAAAUAAAUUUAAUUUAUAUUCUUUCUUUAAUAAAUUUCUUUAGAAUAAAGUUUUAGUUAGAAUAAAUAAUAAAGGGGAUAAGCUCUUUAUUAAAGUUUUAUAGGAAUAUAAUUUGUAAAUUAAUGUGGAUUUAAAAGUAAUUUUCAUUAUAAGUAUGUUAAAAUAUUAUUUUUUUAUAUAAAAUUUUUUUGUUCUUUAAUAUUUUACUAAAAUUUUUUAAUUAAUAAAUUAUUAAUUAAUUUUAUGAUUAAAUUAGUAUAAUUAUUUAUAUUAAAAUGUUUAAUUUUGGAAUAGUUAUUUUGAGGAAUUAGGCAAAAACUAAAUUAUUCGCCUGUUUAACAAAAACAUCUCUUCUUGUUAAUAUAGGAAGUAUAACCUGCCCAAUGAUUAUUGAAUGGCCGCAGUAUACUGACUGUGCAAAGGUAGCAUAAUCAUUAGUCUUUUAAUUGGAGGCUGGAAUGAAUGGUUGGACGAAAUAAUAGCUAUCUUAAUUUUAAUAUAUUAGAAUUUAAUUUUUGAGUUAAAAAGCUUAAAUAAUUUUUUGGGACGAGAAGACCCUAUAGAGUUUAAUAUUUAUAAUAAUUUUAUAUUAUUUGUUAUCUUUAAUAUUAUUAUAAUUAUUUAAUUGGGGUGAUUGGAAGAUAAAAGUAACUCUUUUUAAUAUUUUCUUAUGAAUUAAUAUUAUUAUGAUCCAUAAUUAGUGAUUAAAAGACUAAAUUACCUUAGGGAUAACAGCGUAAUUCUUUUUAAGAGUUCAUAUCGACAAUAGAGAUUGCGACCUCGAUGUUGGAUUAAGAUUAUAUUUAGGUGUAGAAGCUUAAAAAAUUAGGUCUGUUCGACCUUUAAAAUCUUACAUGAUCUGAGUUCAAACCGGCGUGAGCCAGGUUGGUUUCUAUCUAAUAUUAAUUAAAAUAUUUUAGUACGAAAGGACCAAAUAUUUAAAAUAAUUUUUAUUUAUAGAUUAUUAUUAAUA
rnacentral:rRNA from 1 species